CGGUGCUUAGUGGCGGACGGGUGAGUAACGCGUGAGAAUCUGCCUCGAGGAUGGGGGCAACAGUUGGAAACGACUGCUAAUACCCAAUAUGCCUAACGGUGAAAUUUUUUAGCCUUGAGAGGAGCUCGCGUCCGAUUAGUUAGUUGGUGGUGUAAUGGACUACCAAGGCAGCGAUCGGUAGCUGGUUUGAGAGGAUGAGCAGCCACACUGGGACUGAGACACGGCCCAG
rnacentral:rRNA from 1 species